AAUAUGGUCCUUUUCAGGACCACCAAAAUCAAUCACGAAAGAGUUAG
rfam:Culex pipiens quinquefasciatus supercont3.54 genomic scaffold, whole genome shotgun sequence.